rnacentral:rRNA from 1 species
AGAGUUUGAUCAUGGCUCAGAAUCAACGCUGGCGGCGCGCUUAACACAUGCAAGUCGCACGAGAAAGUGGAGCAAUCCAUGAGUACAGUGGCGUACGGGUGAGUAACACGUGGAUCAUCUACCUCUUAGUGGGGAAUAACCCUGGGAAACCGGGGCUAAUACCGCAUAAGCUCGAGAGAGGAAAGCAGCAAUGCGCUGAGAGAGGAGUCCGCGGCCGAUUAGCUAGUUGGCAGGGUAAAAGCCUACCAAGGCAAAGAUCGGUAGCCGGCCUGAGAGGGCACACGGCCACACUGGCACUGAAACACGGGCCAGACUCCUACGGGAGGCAGCAGUGGGGAAUCUUGCACAAUGGGGGAAACCCUGAUGCAGCGACGCCGCGUGAGCGAUGAAGCCCUUCGGGGUGUAAAGCUCUUUCGGCAGGGACGAUCAUGACGGUACCUGCAGAAGCAGCUGCGGCUAACUACGUGCCAGCAGCCGCGGUAAUACGUAGGCAGCGAGCGUUGUUCGGAGUUACUGGGCGUAAAGGGUGUGUAGGCGGUUGCUUAAGUUUGGUGUGAAAUCUCCCGGCUCAACUGGGAGGGUGCGCCGAAUACUGAGUGACUCGAGUGCGGGAGAGGAGAGUGGAAUUCCUGGUGUAGCGGUGAAAUGCGUAGAUAUCAGGAGGAACACCGGCGGUGUAGACGGCUCUCUGGACCGUAACUGACGCUGAGACACGAAAGCGUGGGUAGCAAACAGGAUUAGAUACCCUGGUAGUCCACGCCCUAAACGAUGCAUAUUUGGUGUGGGUCAUUCAGUUGAUCCGUGCCGGAGCUAACGCGUUAAAUAUGCCGCCUGGGGAGUACAGUCGCAAGGCUGAAACUCAAAGGAAUUGACGGGGCCCGCACAAGCGGUGGAGCAUGUGGGUUCAAUUCGACGCAACGCGAAGAACCUUACCUGGGCUCGAACGGCUGGUUACCGGCGGUGGAAACAUCGCUACCCCGCAAGGGGGUCCA